rnacentral:rRNA from 1 species
AUUGAACGCUGGCGGCAGGCCUAACACAUGCAAGUCGAGCGGCAGCGGAAAGUAGCCUGCUACUUUGCCGGCGAGCGGCGGACGGGUGAGUAAUGUCUGGGAAACUGCCUGAUGGAGGGGGAUAACUACUGGAAACGGUAGCUAAUACCGCAUAACGUCGCAAGACCAAAGAGGGGGACCUUCGGGCCUCUUGCCAUCAGAUGUGCCCAGAUGGGAUUAGCUAGUAGGUGGGGUAACGGCUCACCUAGGCGACGAUCCCUAGCUGGUCUGAGAGGAUGACCAGCCACACUGGAACUGAGACACGGUCCAGACUCCUACGGGAGGCAGCAGUGGGGAAUAUUGCACAAUGGGCGCAAGCCUGAUGCAGCCAUGCCGCGUGUAUGAAGAAGGCCUUCGGGUUGUAAAGUACUUUCAGCGGGGAGGAAGGUGUUGUGGUUAAUAACCACAGCAAUUGACGUUACCCGCAGAAGAAGCACCGGCUAACUCCGUGCCAGCCGCCGCGGUAAAAC